rnacentral:rRNA from 1 species
AGAACGAACGCUGGCGGCAUGCCUAACACAUGCAAGUCGAACGCUCCUGGGGCUUCGGUCUCAGGGGAGUGGCGCACGGGUGAGUAGCGCGUGGGAACCUGCCCUGUUGUGGGGGAUAACCGAGGGAAACUUCGGCUAAUACCGCAUAAGCCGGUUGUCUUGAAAGAGAUGGCCGGGAAAGAUUUAUCGCGACAGGAGGGGCCCGCGUCGGAUUAGCUAGUUGGUGGGUAACGGCCCACCAAGGCAGUGAUCCGUAGCUGGUCUGAGAGGAUGAUCAGCCACACUGGGACUGAGACACGGCCCAGACUCCUACGGGAGGCAGCAGUGGGGAAUAUUGGACAAUGGGCGCAAGCCUGAUCCAGCAAUGCCGCGUGAGUGAUGAAGGCCUUAGGGUUGUAAAGCUCUUUCGCCCGCGACGAUGAUGACGGUAGCGGGAGAAGAAGCCCCGGCUAACUUCGUGCCAGCAGCCGC